UACCAGUAUGCAAGCAAUAAUGUAUGUGCAAAUUCGAUCAGGUCCGAAAGGAAGCAAUCGUAGCUCUAAUCAAUAUGUGCCCGUGCAUACUGGUAAAU
rnacentral:SRP_RNA from 1 species